rnacentral:rRNA from 1 species
UACGGAGGGUGCGAGCGUUAAUCGGAAUUACUGGGCGUAAAGCGUGCGUAGGCGGUUUGUUAAGCGAGAUGUGAAAGCCCAGGGCUCAACCUUGGAACUGCAUUUCGAACUGGCAGGCUAGAAUUUUGUAGAGGGUGGUAGAAUUUCAGGUGUAGCGGUGAAAUGCGUAGAGAUCUGAAGGAAUACCGAUGGCGAAGGCAGCCACCUGGGUCAAUACUGACGCUCAUGUACGAAAGCGUGGGGAGCAAACGGG